CGUCGUCUCCACCGACCUCCCCAACGAGAAGAAACCGCGAAGAAAAAACUAAAUAAAAAAUCAAAGAAAUCAAAUCGUCUCCGUUCUCUCAACGCCAUGAAUCGCCGCGACGAGGUCAACCCCUUCGACGAAGACGGCGUUAACCCCUUCGCAAACGGCGCCGCUCCGGCGUCGAAGUCGCGGUUCCCUGGCCUGUCGUCACUCCCGCUCGGCUUCGGCGGCGGCAACAAGCACGGCGCUACUGCUGAUAUCCCGCUGGACUCGAUGAGCGAUGGCAAGGCGAAGGAGAGGGAG
rnacentral:misc_RNA from 1 species